rnacentral:snRNA from 1 species
AGCUUUGCACAGUGGCAGUAUCAUAGCGAAUGAGGUUUAUGCAAGGCGCGAUUAUUGCUAAUUGAAAACUUUUCCCAAUACCCCGCUGUGACAACUUGCAAUAUAGUCGGCAUUGGCAAUUUUUGACAGUCUAUGAAGAC